CCAGACUCCUACGGGAGGCAGCAGUGAGGAAUAUUGGUCAAUGGCCGGGAGGCUGAACCAGCCAAGUCGCGUGAGGGAAGACGGCCCUACGGGUUGUAAACCUCUUUUGUCAGGGAGCAAGGUGCAGGUCGGGACCUGCUGUGAGAGUACCUGAAGAAAAAGCAUCGGCUAACUCCGUGCCAGCAGCCGCGGUAAUACGGAGGAUGCGAGCGUUAUCCGGAUUUAUUGGGUUUAAAGGGUGCGUAGGCGGAAUGCCAAGUCAGCGGUAAAAUCGCGGGGCUCAACCUCGCUCCGCCGUUGAAACUGGCGUUCUUGAGUGGGCGAGAAGUAUGCGGAAUGCGUGGUGUAGCGGUGAAAUGCAUAGAUAUCACGCAGAACUCCGAUUGCGAAGGCAGCAUACCGGCGCCCAACUGACGCUGAAGCACGAAAGCGUGGGUAUCGAACAGGAUUAGAUACCCCAGUA
rnacentral:rRNA from 1 species